AGAAAAGGAAUUUUUGAGGAAUAUUUUUGAACAUGGCAAAGAAAGAUUUUGUCAUAUUUGAGGAAUAUAUGACCCAAUAGAUUUAUGAGAAUUAUUUGGAAAUUUUUGGAAUGAUAGAAAUGGGGGUUGCUUCACAACUCAAGGCAACACAGGUUAUUCCUUUAAUAGAAAAAGGAAUAUUCCCAUGGAAAAGAAUAUUGGGAUUGGCUGAAGAUGGAAAUGGCUAGGUGUUGGGAUGGUUUGAAGGUUGGCAAGCAACUAGGAAAAAGAAAUGAAGGAUAAUCCCUUUAGGUUUCAAAACUAUUAAGCCACAGAAAAGCAAAACUAGACGAAAAUCAAAAGAAAAA
rnacentral:lncRNA from 1 species